GGUUAAGCGACUAAGCGUACACGGUGGAUGCCCUGGCAGUCAGAGGCGAUGAAGGGCGUGCUAAUCUGCGAUAAGCGCCGGUAAGGUGAUAUGAACCGUUAUAACCGGCGAUACCCGAAUGGGGAAACCCAGUGUGAUUCGUCACACUAUCAUUAACUGAAUCCAUAGGUUAAUGAGGCGAACCGGGGGAACUGAAACAUCUAAGUACCCCGAGGAAAAGAAAUCAACCGAGAUUCCCCCAGUAGCGGCGAGCGAACGGGGAGGAGCCCAGAGCCUGAAUCAGCAUGUGUGUUAGUGGAAGCGUCUGGAAAGGCGCGCGAUAGAGGGUGACAGCCCCGUACACAAAAGCGCAUGUGCUGUGAGCUCGAUGAGUAGGGCGGGACACGUGGUAUCCUGUCUGAAUAUGGGGGGACCAUCCUCCAAGGCUAAAUACUCCUGACUGACCGAUAGUGAACCAGUACCGUGAGGGAAAGGCGAAAAGAACCCCGGCGAGGGGAGUGAAAAAGAACCUGAAACCGUGUACGUACAAGCAGUGGGAGCACAGGUUUACCUGUGUGACUGCGUACCUUUUGUAUAAUGGGUCAGCGACUUAUAUUCUGUAGCAAGGUUAACCGUAUAGGGGAGCCGWAGGGAAACCGAGUCUUAAYYGGGCGUUAAGUUGCAGGGUAUAGACCCGAAACCCGGUGAUCUAGCCAUGGGCAGGUUGAAGGUUGGGUAACACUAACUGGAGGACCGAACCGACUAAUGUUGAAAAAUUAGCGGAUGACCUGUGGCUGGGGGUGAAAGGCCAAUCAAACCGGGAGAUAGCUGGUUCUCCCCGAAAGCUAUUUAGGUAGCGCCUCGUGAAUUCAUCUCCGGGGGUAGAGCACUGUUUCGGCUAGGGGGCCAUCCCGGCUUACCAACCCGAUGCAAACUGCGAAUACCGGAGAAUGUUAUCACGGGAGACACACGGCGGGUGCUAACGUCCGUCGUGAAGAGGGAAACAACCCAGACCGCCAGCUAAGGUCCCAAAGUCAUGGUUAAGUGGGAAACGAUGUGGGAAGGCCCAGACAGCCAGGAUGUUGGCUUAGAAGCAGCCAUCAUUUAAAGAAAGCGUAAUAGCUCACUGRUCGAGUCGGCCUGCGCGGAAGAUGUAACGGGGCUAAACCAUGCACCGAAGCUGCGGCAGCGNNNNNNNNNNNNNNNNNNNNNGGGGAGCGUUCUGUAAGCCUGUGAAGGUGUGUCGUGAGGCAUGCUGGAGGUAUCAGAAGUGCGAAUGCUGACAUAAGUAACGAUAAAGCGGGUGAAAAGCCCGCUCGCCGGAAGACCAAGGGUUCCUGUCCAACGUUAAUCGGGGCAGGGUGAGUCGACCCCUAAGGCGAGGCCGAAAGGCGUAGUCGAUGGGAAACGGGUUAAUAUUCCCGUACUUGGUGUUACUGCGAAGGGGGGACGGAGAAGGCUAUGUUGGCCGGGCGACGGUUGUCCCGGUUUAAGCGUGUAGGUGUGUGUUCCAGGUAAAUCCGGUUCACUUUAACACUGAGGCGUGACGACGAGGCACUACGGUGCUGAAGCAACAAAUGCCCUGCUUCCAGGAAAAGCCUCUAAGCAUCAGGUAACAUCAAAUCGUACCCCAAACCGACACAGGUGGUCAGGUAGAGAAUACCAAGGCGCUUGAGAGAACUCGGGUGAAGGAACUAGGCAAAAUGGUGCCGUAACUUCGGGAGAAGGCACGCUGACACGUAGGUGAAGUGAUUUACUCAUGGAGCUGAAGUCAGUCGAAGAUACCAGCUGGCUGCAACUGUUUAUUAAAAACACAGCACUGUGCAAACACGAAAGUGGACGUAUACGGUGUGACGCCUGCCCGGUGCCGGAAGGUUAAUUGAUGGGGUCAGCGCAAGCGAAGCUCCUGAUCGAAGCCCCGGUAAACGGCGGCCGUAACUAUAACGGUCCUAAGGUAGCGAAAUUCCUUGUCGGGUAAGUUCCGACCUGCACGAAUGGCGUAAUGAUGGCCAGGCUGUCUCCACCCGAGACUCAGUGAAAUUGAACUCGCUGUGAAGAUGCAGUGUACCCGCGGCAAGACGGAAAGACCCCGUGAACCUUUACUAUAGCUUGACACUGAACAUUGAGCCUUGAUGUGUAGGAUAGGUGGGAGGCUUUGAAGUGUGGACGCCAGUCUGCAUGGAGCCGACCUUGAAAUACCACCCUUUAAUGUUUGAUGUUCUAACGUGGACCCGUAAUCCGGGUUGCGGACAGUGUCUGGUGGGUAGUUUGACUGGGGCGGUCUCCUCCUAAAGAGUAACGGAGGAGCACGAAGGUUGGCUAAUCCUGGUCGGACAUCAGGAGGUUAGUGCAAUGGCAUAAGCCAGCUUGACUGCGAGCGUGACGGCGCGAGCAGGUGCGAAAGCAGGUCAUAGUGAUCCGGUGGUUCUGAAUGGAAGGGCCAUCGCUCAACGGAUAAAAGGUACUCCGGGGAUAACAGGCUGAUACCGCCCAAGAGUUCAUAUCGACGGCGGUGUUUGGCACCUCGAUGUCGGCUCAUCACAUCCUGGGGCUGAAGUAGGUCCCAAGGGUAUGGCUGUUCGCCAUUUAAAGUGGUACGCGAGCUGGGUUUAGAACGUCGUGAGACAGUUCGGUCCCUAUCUGCCGUGGGCGCUGGAGAACUGAGGGGGGCUGCUCCUAGUACGAGAGGACCGGAGUGGACGCAUCACUGGUGUUCGGGUUGUCAUGCCAAUGGCACUGCCCGGUAGCUAAAUGCGGAAGAGAUAAGUGCUGAAAGCAUCUAAGCACGAAACUUGCCCCGAGAUGAGUUCUCCCUGAGACUUUAAGUCUCCUGAAGGAACGUUGAAGACGACGACGUUGAUAGGCCGGGUGUGUAAGCGCAGCGUUGCGUUGAGCUAACCGGUACUAAUGAACCGUGAGGCUUAACCUU
rnacentral:rRNA from 1 species